GACGAACGCUGGCGGCGUGCUUAACACAUGCAAGUCGAACGGAAAGGCCCUGCUUUUGUGGGGUGCUCGAGUGGCGAACGGGUGAGUAACACGUGAGUAACCUGCCCUUGACUUUGGGAUAACUUCAGGAAACUGGGGCUAAUACCGGAUAGGAGCUCCUGCUGCAUGGUGGGGGUUGGAAAGUUUCGGCGGUUGGGGAUGGACUCGCGGCUUAUCAGCUUGUUGGUGGGGUAGUGGCUUACCAAGGCUUUGACGGGUAGCCGGCCUGAGUGGGUGACCGGCCACAUUUGGACUGAGAUACGGCCCAGACUCCUACGGGAGGCAGCAGUGGGGAAUAUUGCACGAUGGGUGGAAGCCUGAUGCAGCAACGCCGUGUGCGGGAUGACGGCCUUCGGGUUGUAAACCGCUUUCGCUCAUGACGAAGCUUUGUGUGACGGUAGUGGGUAAAGAAGCACCGGCUAACUACGUG
rnacentral:rRNA from 1 species